GUGGUCACAAUGAAAUAAAAAUGGUGCCUAUAUCAGCUCGCUAUCACAUGUAUCAGCAAGCCUGUCAUUGCCUGUGCUCAUUUGCAGGAAAGCAAGAAAGAUCACAUAGCACAAUAACGUGGCUCGAGCUAUUCUAAUGCAGUAGGAGGGGGCCUGUGGGGGAAAUUAAGUGAUGAAGAUCAUAUCACUAGCAUCAACGACUACUAGCUGAGCUACUAGAGCAGUACUGGCAUUUAUUGACCGGUGAGAGCUCAUGAGAAGAGUCUAGCUGUAAGUAGAAUGAUGAGCUUUCUUGUGGCAUACUGCUACUUUUAAUUACUCUGCUACUCAGUUGUUUAUUGUUGCUAUCGUUUGUACCAUGCAUAUAGUGUACUUAGGAGGCUGGGAAUCCCUCAUCCUCCAGUUACGCCUUUAAUGGGAAAUGGAAUAGAAAUUUUUAAAACGUCUUCAACUGAUUUUCAAGAGAAAUGGCUUGCUAAAAGUGGGAAGGUAUUUGGGGAAGUUAACAAAAUCUGCCAAAAUAUGAUGGACA